AACGAACGCUGGCGGCGCGUCUUAAGCAUGCAAGUCGAACGGCAAGGAAGUGCUUGCACUUCCCUAGAGUGGCGGACUGGUGAGUAACACGUGGGUAACAUGCCUUUUAGUUGGGGAUAGCUACUAGAAAUAGUAGAUAAUACCGAAUACGAUUUUACAGGGUAAGGCUGUAAAAGGAAAGGAGCUACGGCUCUGCUGAAAGAUUGGCUCGCGGCCCAUUAGCUAGUUGGUGAGGUAAAUGCUUACCAAGGCAAUGAUGGGUAUCCGGCCUGAGAGGGUGAACGGACACAUUGGGACUGAGAUACGGCCCAGACUCCUACGGGAGGCAGCAGCUAAGAAUAUUCCGCAAUGGAGGGAACUCUGACGGAGCGACGCCGCGUGGAUGAAGAAGGUCGAAAGAUUGUAAAGUUCUUUUGAGAUGGAAGAAAAAGUAUUGCAGGGAAUGGCAGUAUGGUGACAGUACAUUUUGAAUACGAGGCGGCUAAUU
rnacentral:rRNA from 1 species